rnacentral:rRNA from 1 species
UACGGGGGGGGCAAGCGUUGUUCGGAAUUACUGGGCGUAAAGGGCUCGUAGGUGGCCAACUAAGUCGGACGUGAAAUCCCUCGGCUUAACCGGGGAACUGCAUCCGAUACUGGAUGGCUUGAGUUCGGGAGAGGGAUGCGGAAUUCCAGGUGUAGCGGUGAAAUGCGUAGAUAUCUGGAGGAACACCGGUGGCGAAGGCGGCAUCCUGGACCGACACUGACCCUGAGGAGCGAAAGCCAGGGGAGCAAACGGG